AGGUUGCUAAGCCGCGAGGUGGCGCCAAUCCCAUAAAGUUGGCUCAGUUCAGAUUGUAGGCUGCAACCCGCCUGCAUGAAGAUGGAGUUGCUAGUAACCGCAGGUCAGCUAUACUGCGGUGAAUACGUUCCCGGGCUU
rnacentral:rRNA from 1 species